AUGAUCAUACUGUGUGUGUGUGUGUGUGUGUGUGUGUGUGUGUGUGUGUGUGUGUGUGUGUGUGUGUGUGUGUGUGUGUGUGUGUGUGUGUGCAGGGUGUUUAAGGGGGGGGAGGACGUACGGUUAAUGCGGCCGGCGUCGCCCGUCUCCCAGACGCCCGACACCCAGCAGGAGGCGGAGAAGGGCCCCGCCCGCAUGGAGCCCGACACCACCCAGCCGGGGACCAGCCGCGAGGUCACCGGCAGCAUGGUCUCCAUGAUGAGGUCAGCAUCCGGGGCGUCAUGGCAACGCUGGGCUGGGGUUCAGAGAGGGAGAGGAGGGACGGUCCAAGUGAUGAGGGCUGUUUUGGUAUCCUUGGGCUCUCUCUCUCUCUGUCUCCUCUCUCUCGCUCUCUCGCCCUGUCUCUGUGUUCUCUCUCUCUCUCUCUCUCUCUCUCUCUGUCUCUGUCUCUGUCUCUCUCUCUCUCUCUCUCUCUCUCUCUGUCUCCUCUCUGUCUCUCUCUCACUCUCUCUGUCUCUCUCGGUCACUCUCUCUCUCUUCACUCUCUCUGUCUGUCUCCUCUCUCUCUGUCUGUCUGUCUCUGUGUGUUCACUCUCUCUGUCUCUCUGUCGGUCUCCUCUCUGUCUCCUCUCUUUCUCCUCUCUGUCUCUCUCUGUCUCUGUGUUCACUCUCUCUGUCUCCUCUCUGUCUCCUCUGUCUCUGUCUCCUCUCUGUCUCUCUCUCUCUCUCUCUCUCUCUCUGUCUGUGUUCUCUCUCUCUGUCUCUCUCUCUCUCUCUCUCUCUCUCUCUCUCUGUCUGUGUUCACUCUCUUUGUCUCCUCUCUCACUGUCUGUCUCUGUCUCUCUCUCUCUCUCUCUCUCUCUGUCUGUGUUCUCUCUCUCUGUCUCCUCUCUGUCUCUCUCUCUCUCUGUCUGUGUUCACUCUCUCUGUCUCCUCUCUCACUGUCUGUCUCUGUCUGUCUCUCUCUCCCUCUCUGCAGGACGAUGUUGCGUUACUUCUUCCCUCCUGAUUUCCGGAUCCCUAAGGACGAUGUGA
rnacentral:lncRNA from 1 species